rnacentral:rRNA from 1 species
CCUACGGGAGGCAGCAGUGGGGAAUCUUGCACAAUGGGGGAAACCCUGAUGUAGCGACGCCGCGUGAGUGAAGAAGUAAUUCGUUACGUAAAGUUCUAUCAUCAGCGAAGAAACACUUACCUUACUGUCAGCAGACGGUACCUGAGUAAGAAGCCCCGGCUAACUACGUGCCAGCAGCCGCGGUAAUACGGAGGGUGCAAGCGUUAUCCGGAUUUACUGGGUGUAAAGGGAGCGUAGACGGUGCGCCACGUCUGGAGUGAAAUGCGGCAGCUUACCUGCGGAACUGCUUGGGAAACUGGCGAACUAGAGUGCGGGAGGGGUAAGCGGAAUUCCUAGUGUAGGAGGGAAAUGCGUAGAUAUUAGAAGGAACACCGGUAGCGAAGGCGGCUUACUGGACCGUAACUGACGUUGAGGCUCGAAAGCGUAGGGAGCAAACAGGAUUAGAUACCCCUGUAGUC